rnacentral:rRNA from 1 species
AGUGAACGCUGGCGGUAGGCCUAACACAUGCAAGUCGAACGGCAGCACAGGAGAGCUUGCUCUCUGGGUGGCGAGUGGCGGACGGGUGAGGAAUACAUCGGAAUCUACUCUGUCGUGAGGGAUAACGUAGGGAAACUUACGCUAAUACCGCAUACGACCUACGGGUGAAAGCAGGGGACCUUCGGGCCUUGCGCGAUUGAAUGAGCCGAUGUCGGAUUAGCUAGUUGGCGGGGUAAAGGCCCACCAAGGCGACGAUCCGUAGCUGGUCUGAGAGGAUGAUCAGCCACACUGGAACUGAGACACGGUCCAGACUCCUACGGGAGGCAGCAGUGGGGAAUAUUGGACAAUGGGCGCAAGCCUGAUCCAGCCAUACCGCGUGGGUGAAGAAGGCCUUCGGGUUGUAAAGCCCUUUUGUUGGGAAAGAAAUCCUGUCGAUUAAUACUCGGUGGGGAUGUCGGUACCCAAAGAAUAAGCACCGGCUAACUUCGUGCCAGCAGCCGCGGUAA